GGCGGGAGGGGUUGCGGUGGUUCGCGCUCUUUGUCAGCGCGUGCGCGAAGCGGCAUGAAGCCUUCUGGGCGUUCCGAACGAAGCGGUGCAUUUCCGCGCGUCGUUCUUAUCCCAGAGGAGGAAAAGAGCUGAAGAUAAAGAGAGAGAAAAAUGGAGGACACAGCAGGAUUUCAGCAUUGUUAAAACCUGAGGUACUGGGACAUAUACAUGCAGCCCAAGAAACACGACAGAACACAUAAGAAAGAAAAAGGAAAGAAGGAAAAGAAAGGAAAAGGAAGGAAAAAAGAAAAAGGAAAAGAAGGGAACGUAGGAAAGAAUAUAGGAAAAAACAUCAGAAAAAAAAUGGGAAGAACAGAAAAGAAAACAAUGGGAUAAGAGAGAAAAGAAAAGAAAAGAAAAGAAAAGAAAAGAAAAGAAAAGAAAAGAAAAGAAAAGAAAAGAAAAGAAAAGAAAAGAAAAGAAAAGAAAAGAAAAGAAAAGAAAAGAAAAGAAAAGAAAAGAAAGAAAAGAAAAGAAAAGAAAAGAAAAGAAGCUUGGAAAAAGACAAUUCUAGUAUACAUUCUGAAAGGAUUUUCAAUAAAAGACUAAUAAGCCAUAUGCUGCAACAGUACUGUAAGUCAGAGGAAGGAGGCUAUGAAAAGGAGUGGGCACCUACACACAUCAGGACUACUAAGGAGAAAGGUGAAGACAGCCAUGAAGCACACACAUCCUACAGAAUGACUGCGAUAUGGACUACAGUUCUUCACACUGACAGCAUGAGAAGAGAGAAGAAACGGUGAUGAAUUCACUCUGUGUAUUAAGGAUCUCUACCACGUUCCCCCAUUAACCCCUGCCUUACAUCCUCAUCCUGCACCUCUGGAAGCUCACUUGUUAGUGCAGUAUCAUGGCUUAUCUUUAGUGCCUCAACUCAGGGUGUGGUUGGAGGCAGCUGGGUGCUCCUUCUGUAUAAUAAGUGUCCUAGCUCGGGCUGAAGGGGCAAACGCGCUCCCUCUGGACUCUGUAUCCAUGUGAGCAGAAUGACAAAACAUUUGUUGUAAAAGUUUGCGAAGAACUGCUGCAGAGUUAUUUGGAGUCUGAUAAGACUGACUGGGAACAAAAAACCUCACUGACACAGCACAAGAAUUAAUCUUCUUGAAUCACAAUAAUUUGUCACAGAAAAAAAAAAAUACUAAGAUCAAAGGCAAUUUUACAGGAGUGAUUAUUCGGACAGAUGUGGCAUGUGGAGCUGGCAGCGUGGAAGUGCCAGCCUAUGCAAAAUGUGCAUGCUGCUAUCAGAAGGGUAUGCACUAAAAAGUAAAACAUUCAGAUGAAUUUUUCAGCCAAGUGGUAGACAGCAUUGCAGCCGAUGGCAAGUGUUUACCUGACAGAAAAAGGAGUAUGUGCUACUUCAUGUUGGACAGUGAUGCCCAAACCAGUGCAGUACAAGAAUCUUAAGUCAUUCACAAUGACAGAAAAGCCAAAAGAAGAAGACAGAAGCCCAUUACUUGGUAUAACUAUGUUCUACAGCUUCCUCAGGAGAAUGUCUUCACCGGGGAAGCAAAGGAGAAAAACAGCUUAAGAAAAAUCUCAGGAUUUUCCAUAGCAUAGUGACAAAUUGCACCUUUUCCAGUUUGUUAGCUAUUAUAUAUAUCUCUGGUAGGGAAAGGAUCAGUGGUACAUAUUUAUCUUUCUCCACUUAUCCUAGGAUGAAAGUCUGUAGAAAAGUACAUGUGCCUUUUAGCACAAAGUGGCUGGUGCUGUAUAUUCCCUGCAUCUGAUGCCAGCAUAGAGGAAAAAAUGACAUGGGACAUUGUUUAAAAAGAAUGGAAAGAUGACUUACGCCAUGCUGAAUAAAAAUACUGAGAAGAACAUGGGAUGGUUAGCUAGGCAUGCAUAAACCCUCGCAAAAGGUAUGAAGAUAUGCUGCAUUGCCUGAAAAUGGAAGGCGACAUGGGAAAAAUCUAAGACUCUUCACAGGUGCCAGAAUGAAACUAAAUCAAGCAAAACUUCAGAAGACAAAGGUUCCUCAAAAGCAAAGCAGGCUUUGCUUUACAUAGGCUUGAAAAACAAAACCACAUACCCUAUGGUAUUUUUCUUUCUUUGCUGAGCUAACCUAAAUAGAAGAUAUUACAGAUGAGUGUAUGGGUCAAAAGCAUUGGAUAAGUUGGGAUGCAGCUGACACAACCAUAAGUGACAGCGACAUUAUUUAGUUUAAGUAGUUUGCAGUUAAGUAUAGACUUAGACAUAAUCUUGCCAAUGGAACAGUUCCCACCCUAAUAUGUAAGUAAGAAACGGUGCCAGAUUAAUAAAGUUUAUUGAAGAGAAGCCAGAGCCAGAGCCUGAUCCACAUUUAGAACAACCAAGUUUGAGAGCAGCAUCAGUGAUGCAUGGAGCUGUCACCUGAGGACGUUUUUUCCUAUGGAAAACUGGAAUUCAGAAUAGCUGCAUUAUUAGACACCAGAGACUUGUAGAAAUGGAGGGUGAGACAGCAAGGCAGACUCCUCGGUUAAACUCACUGUUAUCAAAUCCAUUUCCUCUGAGAAUAAGGGUCAGAGUUGAUACCAAACUUCACGGGGAUUUUGAGCCUCCCGGCAGUUACAAAUGUGUGAUCCUAAGAGUAACUGCUGCGUAAGUAAUCCGUUCGUGUUCUUCCUGCAGCACGCACUCCAUGCCCACUGCAGACCAUCAGCACAUACUGCUCGUAAUCCCCAUCCCGGUCCAUUCUUUUCACUUCGGCACGUGUGAAAGACGCAAGGAUUUUAUGUUAUGGAAAUAAGGUAAAAUCCAGCCUUUCAUUUCUGUUGGAAUGCAGCUGGCCAACCUCCCUUACCCUCUGAGCCACCUUACCAGGGUAAAGGGGCUAUGAACUUUGCAGAGGUUUACAAGUGGCACCUGACAUCCCAUCAGUCUGCUGCAAGCGCACUGCUUUUAUUUUGAGACUACUGGAGAUGAAAUCUGGGAAUCUUCUGUGUGCCAAAGUCUUCCUGUAGAAUAUGGAGCUCCAUCAAAAUUGAGCUGGUGUGAAACUGCCCUGAGGUAUGUGCAACAAGGGACUUCUCUAGACAGCUACAUCACGCAGAGCCACUUGUUUUGUUGCUUGUAUUAGCUAUUUCAAGCCUGGAAAGAAGCAUCUUCACUAUAGAUGGCAUGUGCAGAUGAAGGAAACCCCUUACAAUUAUGUUGUGGAAUGAAAAAUGUAAUGGAUAACAUCCACUGCAAGAAAAAUGAGAUGCAUCAAGAACAAUAAAAAAUUUCACACCAUUCUGAACUUUAGGUAUGACAAAAUUGGAAGAAAAAAUAUAGUAAUUUACACCCAUUGAACAGGCAAUGAUUAUGAGAAGGAAGUAAAAAUAUUUAUGUCCAUCUCUCAUACAUGCCAAAUGCUGUUGUAAUUAAAUGUAGUUAUGCAGUAGACGCAUUUUGCUAAAAGUUCUGUAAAUAAAUGUAGAAAUUAAAGUUUUCUAACAGAUUUUUUAAAGUUACGUUCUUAUAUUUUAUGAUAAAAAGGGAAACCAUGAGUCCAUGAAACAGGUCUGCAGUCAUUAUGUUCCUUUUUUAGUAUAUUGGUGUAGUUUUUUUAGUGUGGUGAUGGUAAGUUUCUAAAUAGAUUAUACUAAGUUCCAUAUCCAUUUUUGACUUACUUCUGGUUUCAGUGGUGUGAAGUAUGAUUCCAUUAGUCAUUAUCGAUUGAUAUAAAACGUAGCAAGAUCUCUUUGUUAAUGAAAGGAAAAAUAAGAAUGAAGUUAUAGACUGUCAUGAGGUUUAGAAAUGAGGUUGCUUCAUUUCAUAGCAGUUCUGCUGAAAAUCGUGCCAAGAUUGGCAGUUCCAAGUUGCGUGUAGCUUGCAGUACAAACUAUGCCUAACCAAAACUAUGGGAAGGCAGGUGUGUGGGAGCCGUUAGCUCACAGCCUGAGCCAGUGAUUGAGCACCUGCUGAAGGGGUGUGGCCAGCCCUGAGAGCACAGGUGCAAGCAAUUCAUCUGGGCAACCCUGAGUCCACCCCUCCCUAAGCUCAUUUAAGGGCUGGCAGCCCUGGAGAUCGCCUGUUCUGAGAGUUUCCAGGGAGCUCUGAUCCUCAGAAAAGCCUACAAGUGCCUGCAGUACAAGUGCCUGCUGUACCACCACUCUCAUCUCUGAAACCAGUUUCUCCAUCACCCCACAACAGAUGCAGAAGUUGCUGUAGUCAGGCAACACAAUGCCACAGCAGCACCCUGGGAACAGAGGAGCAGUUAUUUUCACCACAGCUUUCCUAUUUGGUUUAGCUCUGUCAGGCAAGGAAAGCACGUGCCACUUUCCAGCAAGAACUCAUUCAGCUUGAGCAUCUCCGUAUGAAACAACUAAUGGAACAGAAAGGCAAUGAGAAGAAAUCCACCAAAGACUAUUGAGAAGUGAAGCUGCAGUCUGCAAAGCGUGCUUAUUAAUGCCACAGGAGAGGGGCAGCAAUUCAAAAUCUGUUUUUCAGGACCGUCAGCUAAACUAACAUGAACAGAGAUGCACGUGUGGUAAAGCAUCCUUCCUGCCACUCCAUCAGACUGCGAAUCAUUUAAGAUUUAUCACUGCUGAUGACAGAUACCUCACCUCACAUAACCCUGAACAGAAUUUUGUUGUAACAGUUGCAGUUAAAUAAAGUGUUACUUCUCUUAAGUCUUAAAUAAAAGAACAAUGGAAAACACUGGGAAGAAAUAAGCCUUACCCCU